CGGAACAAAGGGCUAUGACAGCUACGAGAUGCCAUAGGUGAAGCAGAUGACGUGCUCGGUGAGUUUGAGUGAAUGAAGCAUGAAAAAGAGCUGAAAAAAAAACAAGGAGCAUACAAAUUUGCGUUCCACCAAGAGCUCCAGGAAGAAAGAAAGCACAAAACAGGAUCAGCAGGAGCAGUUGAUUGAGUGUUACAAGACACGUGAAACAAGAUCCUUGCCAAAAAAUGAUCUUAUUUGUGGAGUUAAGGAUAAGGAAUUUGUUAUGCAGUUGUUGAGAAAGCCAUCAAACGAAAAUGAGGCUCAUAUUACUAAUACUACUUUGUACGGAAGCUGCAUUUCUCUUCUAUCUAUAGUUGGUCUUGGUGGUAUGGGGAAGAUAACUCUCUUGCAACAUGUAUUUGAAAAUGAAAUGACAAAGCAAUUUGAUCUUAAAAUGUGGGUUUGUGUUUCCAAUAACUUUGAUGUGAAAAGAGUUACUGCAAAUACGAUGGAAUCUCUUAAAAUGAAGAUGCCCAAUUGGGAGUCACUUGAGGCACUUCAAAGUAACCUUAUAUCUGAGGUAGUGUCCGAGAAGUUUUUACUUGCACUUGACGACAUUUGGGAGGGGGUUUGGAGAUCUGGGAUAAAAUCAAAUAGGAAAAUUUGUUUGCUCCUCUAACUUGUGGAAGCUUGGGAAGUAAGAUUUUGGCAACAACCCGGAUGCUCUCUGUUGCAUUGAUGAUUGUGAGGGUGAUUAACAUGAAGAAGGAAGCAUUAAGAUUGGAGGUCUUAAAAGAGUAUGAAUGUUUGCAACUUCUUAACAAUCAUGUUUUUGGUAAUGUUUAAAACCCUGAUGUUCAUUAUUCUACAUUAAGAUUCAUUGCAGUUCAUAUCGUAAAAAAGCUUUCAAGAUUUUCAUUGGUAGCAAAGGUCAUAGGUCGUGUUUUGAAUUCUAGCUUGGAUGAAAGUUUUAAAUAGUGAUAAUGGAAAUGCAGAAAUUGACAUAAAUGAUAUAUUUCCUAUCUUAAGAUUGAGUUACAUGUUCCCAUCCUAAGAUUGAGCAACAUGUUCCUAAAAUUUUAAGAUGGGAGCAUGUAGCUCAAUUUUAAGAUUUGAGUAUGUAUCUCAAUCUUAAGAUAUGAAAUAUAUCAUUUAUAUGACCUUUGCUGCCAAUGGAGAUCCUGCAAGCUUUGUUACAAUCUCAACCACUAUGGACCUUAAUUUAGAAUGAUGAACAUCAAGAUUUUCAACAUUAACAAAAACAUAAUUGUUGAGGAGCUGCAAACAUUCAUCUUCAUCCAAGCCCUCCACUCUCAAUGUUUCCUUAUUGUUAAUCACCAUUGCAAUAAUCAAUGACAGAUUCCAUCCAAAUUGUUUCCAAAAUUUUACUUCCCGAACUUCCACAAGUUGGAGGAGCAAACAUAUUCUCCCAUUUGAUUUUAUCCCAGUCCUCCGACCUCCUCCCAAAUGUCAUUUAAGUUCAAACAAAUUUCUUGGACGUUAACUCAGAUUUUAGGACUCUUUGAAAUGCCUCAAGUGAGUCCAAAUCAGGCUCCUUCAUUUUGAGAUAUUCCAACAUAUCUACAAAAACUCUUUUCACAUCAAAGUUAUUCAGAACACCGAGAAGGAUACACUUGUUGUAUAUACUUGCUCAAUACCCAAUAAUGAUCUCAGAGGCAAUUAAAUAUUUGACACAUCUUCGAUAUUUGAUGCUUCAUCAAAAUAAUCAGUUCCUGCUGCCAAUAUCUCUAAGCAGUCUAUAUCACUUGCAAUUCAUAAUCUUCGAUAAAAAAGAAAGGUUUCUACCUCAGGAUUUCUUACCAAUGGAUAUGAAUAACCUUUCUAGCCCUGAAAUUGCCUUGGGAUGGGUAUCCUGAGAUGUUUGAGAUUGGGAAGUUAAACUCUUUUCAAGGACUAGAUGGUUGGUUUUUAUGUUACGAACAUGACUGGUUAUAGAAUUGGAGAGCUGGUGCACAUGAAUAAGCUUCACCAAUCAAGAAUCAAACUUUUGAAAAUGUGAAGGAACCCUAAGAAACUUGCAGUGCUAUAUUAUGUCAUAAAAAGAACCUUACGGAUUUGUCCAUGGAAUGGGGUGAUGUUUCCUCAAAUCUUUGUUUCGCAUAACGUGCCAGAAGUUAAACAGCUUUGAUCAUGGGAAUGACAAAGAUUGUUUCUUUCCAUCGCUAGAGGCGCCACAUUUGAGGAAAUUGGAAGCAUUGGAGGAUUGGUUUGUUGCAGCAGCAGCUUACGAGUCUCUGUUUCCUUGCUUGCCUAAACUGUUCCACUUGAAACCUUAAAGUUCUUUCGCUGUUCAAACAUAACAUGUCUUACUCUGGCUGGUGAAAUAGUAAGACUUGCAGCACUCAGAAAACUGACAAUUGCUGAUUGCCACAAUCUUAUCUCUCCAGAAGGUCUGCGAGAAGUGGAAGCAGCUGGUAAUCGUCAGCUCAUACUUAAUAAACUCGUUUUAAGCUUGUCCAUGGUUGUUACAAAUGGUGCCAUUGAGAAGACUCACCUCCCUCAAAAGCUGAUAACGGAGUUGAAUGAUGGGCUGGUUUCAUUUCCAAUUGAGGUACAUCAAUGGUUUCUUCAAGAAAGAAUUUUGUGGUAUGGGUCAUAUACCAUAUAAAUGACAGAUGCUGGAAUGAAGCGGAGCUGAGCAGAAGAAUUUGUCCAAUCGGAGGAGUUUCGUUAUGUGUGUUGAGGGUGCGUGGGCAACACCCUGCAGUAUGGUACAUGAGUAAUUUUGUAAUUACAUAUUAUAUUCAGGGUUUACUCUAGACUAUCUGUAAUUAAUUUAGAAUUUGUCCAAACAUAGGUAAUAUUUUUUUCAUGUAAUUGGUGAUAUUGAAAUGAUAGUAGGGUGUUGUUCACCUCAAUAUCAUCUAAGUACUAUUUAUCUGUAUCUAAUCCAUACAAAAUUUAUUCACACAAAAUAUUUUUACCCUACAAAAAGAAAAUCAAAACACCAAAAGAGAAAAAAAACAGAGUUCUACCACCAACAAUGCAAAGUAGCAGAAUGAUCCAUUUGCCACCAUAUCCAGUAGUAUAAAACCUGCCAUACUAACUAAUAAUGACAGACCAUUUUCCCCAUUAACUAAGCUUAAAAAAGUUCAUUAAACAAUAAUCAUAUAUUAGAGCGAAAAACAAACUAGUAAUUAAGAAAUUAAGCUAAUAUGGUUGAUUAAACAGGCGAGUUCUCCUUCUGUCCCAACCUAUCUAUGCAGAUCCAUAACCUUCAGACCAUCUUCUCCCUCCCUCUACUUCUUCCCCAACCUCUGAAACAUCUCACAACUCAUCCCUGCAAGCCAUAUCGACUCGCACUAAGGACGGAACAUCCUGCGACAAUGGGGACACACAGCCUCCCUAACCACUUCCCGAUCUCCCCUCUCAUCAGCGAGAAGAGCACAGCAAUCCCUGAACGGGCAAUUGACCUUCUUCUCUAUCACAGAAACACAUAAGCUCAGACACCAAUGAUCGAACACCUCGCGUUCAAUCAUCGGCCUGCACAGCACGGGCUCAAAAAUGCCGGUUUUGCAUCUAGUAACAGGGCAAGAGAUCGCUGCGGCGUUAUGUAACACCAGUUCUGAGACGUACUGUGCUACGCAUCUCGAGCAGAAACUGUGAUGGCAGGUUUUGAUGAAGAGGAGAUCAGAAAGGGGCUUGUUUGUGUUGCAGAGGUUGCAGAGGUUGCAGAGAAGCUUGCCG